CGGUGGAGCAUGUGGUUUAAUUCGAUGAUACGCGAGGAACCUUACCUGGGCUCAAAUGUAUGUUGACGUAUUCUGAAAGGGAUACUUCUUCGGACAAUAUACAAGGUGCUGCAUGGUUGUCGUCAGCUCGUGCCGUGAGGUGUCGGGUUAAGUCCCAUAACGAGCGCAACCCCUAUCAUUAGUUGCCAUCAGGUCAAGCUGGGGACUCUAAUGAAACUGCCUACGCAAGUAGUGAGGAAGGUGGGGAUGACGUCAAAUCAGCACGGCCCUUACGUCCAGGGCUACACACGUGCUACAAUGGUCGGUACAAAGGGUUGCCAAGCCGCGAGGUGGAGCUAAUCCCAUAAAACCGAUCGUAGUCCGGAUCGCAGUCUGCAACUCGACUGCGUGAAGUCGGAAUCGCUAGUAAUCGUGAAUCAGAAUGUCACGGUGAAUACGUUCCCGGGCCUU
rnacentral:rRNA from 1 species